GACGAACGCUGGCGGCGUGCUUAACACAUGCAAGUCGAACGGAAAGGCCCUGCUUUUGUGGGGUGCUCCAGUGGCGAACGGGUGAGUAACACGUGAGUAACCUGCCCUUGACUUUGGGAUAACUUCAGGAAACUGGGGCUAAUACCGGAUAGGAGCUCCUGCUGCAUGGUGGGGGUUGGAAAGUUUCGGCGGUUGGGGAUGGACUCGCGGCUUAUCAGCUUGUUGGUGGGGUAGUGGCUUACCAAGGCUUUGACGGGUAGCCGGCCUGAGAGGGUGACCGGCCACAUUGGGACUGAGAUACGGCCCAGACUCCUACGGGAGGCAGCAGUGGGGAAUAUUGCACAAUGUGCGGAAGCCUGAUGCAGCAACGCCGCGUGCGGGAUGACGGCCUUCGGGUUGUAAACCGCUUUCGCCUGUGACGAAGCGUGAGUGACGGUAAUGGGUAAAGAAGCACCGGCUAACUACGUG
rnacentral:rRNA from 1 species